ACUACUGACACAGAUAAUCAUUUCUCACAAAUAAAGUUGUGAAAAAACUAUGAUCAUUUAGAUACUCUUGAUGGCUCAACCAAGCAUUUGAUAGAUUGUGGUUUAUAAAGCUAUAUAGUUUAGAACUAACAUCUAACUUUUGUGUUCAGUCAAACUCUUCUUUGGUUUUCCUUCUCUAAAAUAGAAUAUUUGUCACCUAUAUAGCUGUUAAUAAGCUGACCAAAUAAAAGUACACAGGUACUUAUAAUUAGAAUUUAGUUUUUAAUAUACUAUAUCAUCCUUGAAAAUAAUUCAGAAGGGGCUUGCUGUAUUCUCCAACUGAAACAACAGUUAAUAAAAACUAGGUAAAACUAGAUAAUGAUUAAAAAAAGUAUUUUGUACUAAGUAAAUGUUUGUUGUAUUAUUUAACUUUUUUUUUAAAUACGAACAUAUAUAAAGUCAUGGUCAACAUUUCCAAGUUUCUUCUGAAAAUAUGAAGAAAGUUUGCAUUGAAAAAAUACAUGAUUAAUAUUUUAGUGUUUCUAAAAAUUGAAAUGUCUUAUAUGUUAGUAAAAUGUGAUUUUCUUAUCCACUACAUUACUGGGACCAUAGAUGUAGGUAUUUUAAAUGAGCACAAUAUAUUAUAUGUUCCUGAUGAAAAGUUAUUAAUAACAGAGGGUUGAUUAUUCUUAAUAUUAUUUCUGUUUGUUUUUCUUACAAUGCCAAACACUUGUCAUGCUAUUCUAAAAUGUUGAAAGAAAUUGUCCUUACUAUAUGCAAUUGCUGCAGCAAAUUCAAAUUUGUCCUUUUUAGAAUAGAAAGCAUUUUUGGUAAUAUUUUCAAACUGCAACUUAAAAUUUUCGAUUGGUUUUCAAUGAUCUAACAAGAUAUUCAACCAAAGGUGUGUUACUAUUUUAUAGAUUUUUGUGUGUAAGAACGCUGGAAUAUUUACAUGCUAAAAUGAUAAAUUAAUUUGAUGAUAAAAGAUAGAUACAAAAUAAAUCCUCUUGAUCACAAUGUCUUCUUGUUGUGUGAUACUUUGCAAACUUUUUAUAAAAACUAACAAUUGUAUUUAGAUAUUUGCUGAUAUCAGUAUGUGAUAUCUUGUCUUAAACUCUUUCUCUUCUCAACUGAUGCAUGACGCUUAUAAGAAAUAUUAAAUCAACAGUUGAUGGAGGUUUAAUAAAAAAAGAUUAUAUUCUAAGGCAUUAUUUUCUCUACGAAAAUUUACUGUUAUAAA
rnacentral:lncRNA from 1 species